UACGUCGGGGGCUAGCGUUGUCCGGAAUCAUUGGGCGUAAAGAGCGUGUAGGCGGCCGCACAGGUCCGUUGUGAAAACUGGAGGCUUAACCUUCAGACGUCGAUGGAAACCGUGCGGCUAGAGUCCGGAAGAGGAGAAUGGAAUUCCUGGUGUAGCGGUGAAAUGCGCAGAUAUCAGGAAGAACACCCGUGGCUAAGGCGGUUCUCUAGUACGGUACUGACGCUGAGACGCGAAAGCGUGGGGAGCGAACAGG
rnacentral:rRNA from 1 species